CCACUUAUUCCAGAUGCUUUCAAGGAUUCUGUGGAAUGCCAGUUGUUCUAGAUGUGGCUCUCUGAACACAGCAAACAGCCAUCAUUCCCCUGAAAUAGUUUCUAAAGCUGUAUUUCAGACAGUAAAAUACAGUAUUUGUUGAAAUGUUGGCUUUUGUGCUGCUGAUAAAAGGAAGGAGAACUGCACCAAAAUUGCAGUUUCCAGGUUCAGGUUUUACAGCACAACAGAAGAUUCCUGCCUCUUCUGCCUCAGAAAUGAAUGAAGCAAGUUCAGGGAUUUUUUUCUAAGUAGAAUCCAGGCUAAUGCAAAGAGAGGAACUGUGGAUUAUUGAAUAAUGGGGAAAUUGAAGUAAUCUAGGACACAAUGGGAGUCUGAUUCAGCAAUAAACAGGCAACAGAAAGUUAGUGCUGGAGAGCACUUCCCAAUACUUCAGGAAGUUAAAGCUCAGGUCUGAGCAAGUAUAACCCUCCUCUGUUGUGUCUCAGCUGAUUAGCAUCCUCCUCCCUGUGGCCUCCUGGAUCUGUGUCCUGCCUUGCCUUUUUUCCACUAAAUCAGAAAAAAAAAAAUCAGGUCGAGGUUGUGAAGCCAUUUCUACUGUAAACCUCUCAUGUGUUGGCUGUCAUUUCCUCAUAAAAUCACAGGAGAAAAAAAAAAGAAAAGAAACCAAAACCAAAAGAACAACCCAGCUGAGAGACUAAUGGCUGAAAAAUCAAAAAGGGAAAAGGAAUGAAGAUGUCAAAGUGGAAAACAUGGAGGUUACAGACUGAGAAGGAAGGUGUCCAAAGGGUAACACUGGUCAGCAGUAAUAGCAGUUAUUCAUAGAAAAAACACCCUCCAAACAUUAACAAGUCUGGUCAUACGGGUGUGAGGGCAGAGGCAGCGAGUCAGGAGGUUAACUGGUGCAUAGCACUGAGCUCUUCUGGCAUUUUGUGUGUGGGACAAAUGGGCAUCUCGGCAGGAAUCCCUACGGGAGGAUUUUAACUCAGCAAGAGCAGCCUUUGCUCAGCCCUGGUGCUGCUCCUCCCAGAGUCAAGGCUCAGGACCCGACUUCUGCAACUGAAGUUCCUCGGGUUCGUGUCUGCAGGGGUUAAAUGGUUGGACUGGAUGACCUCAGAGGUCUUUUCCUCCCCCAGUGAGUCUAUGAAUCUGUAAUGCAGAGGCCCUUGGGGACCUCGUGUACUGAAGGGACUCUUCAAAGUGUGGUCAUUACAUAUCUCACAAAAUGACAUCCUGGGAACGUGGCUUUAGCAAACCUGGGGACCCUCUGUGUGGGCUCCCCUGGCCACCUUUUACAGCACAGACAAUCCACUCACAAUUUACACAAGUGAAAUUAGUGAUCAAAACCGGAAUGACUAAAAAAUGUGACUCUGCCUGUGGCAGCAGGAGGACCCCUGGGGGGGCCAGCUGGCUCUCUGUGGCUGUGUUCCCACCCUGGACAUGGAAAUGAAGGGUGCUGGCUGCCGAAGAAGGGUGCUGGGAGCCACCCUGGGGUGCUGAGGGAACCUCUGAGGCACCCCAGCUCGGGCAGGAAGCUUCACUACAGCCUUAUUUACUUCUGAUUCAAAAAUCGCUGAAAGCCAAACUCCUCCUUCUGAUCAGAAGCCAGCUGUUGUUU